GAUGAACGCUGGCGGCAUGCCUAAGACAUGCAAGUCGAACGAAGUGUACCUUAAGAACUAGAGUACUUGUACAAAGGGGAAGAAGGAAUCGCACUUAGUGGCAGACGGGUGAGUAACACGUGGGUAACCUACCCAAGGGACUGGGAUAACUAUUGGAAACGAUAGCUAAUACCGGAUGAUAUAUAGAAAGAUAACUUUUUAUAUUAAAAGGAGCUACGGCUUCACCUUUGGAUGGGCUUGCGUUGUAUUAGCUAGUUGGUAGGGUAAUGGCCUACCAAGGCAACGAUGCAUAUCCGGGCUGAGAGGCUGAACGGACACACUGGGACUGAGACACGGCCCAG
rnacentral:rRNA from 1 species